rnacentral:rRNA from 1 species
ACGCCCCCAAGGGUCUUCAGCAGUGAUAAACAUUGAGUAUGAGCGUCAGCUCGACUCAGUUAAAUUAAUUAGGGCCGGCUAAUCUGGUGCCAGCCGCCGCGGUUACACCAUGUGGCUCAAAUUGAUUCCUUUCGGCGUAAAGCGUGAUUUAAGUUCUUCACUAUUUCUGGAAUCCAACUAAAACUAAGCUGUGACACGCUUGUUACCUGUGAAGCCCAUAAACGAAAGUUAUUCCAACUUUACCAACUUGAACUCACGUCAACUGAGAAACAAACUGGGAUUAGAUACCCCACUAUGCUCAGUCGUAAACUUUUAUAUUACCACCUUUCCCCGCCAGGGUACUACGAGCAAAGCUUAAAACCCAAAGGACUUGACGGUACCCCAUAUCCCCCUAGAGGAGCCUGUCCUAUAAUCGAUAACCCCCGCUAAACCUCACCCUCUCUAGCAAUUUCAGCCUGUAUACCUCCGUCGUCAGCUUACCCCGUGAGCGUCAGUGAGCUUAAUGUCUUUCAACUACACGUCAGGUCAAGGUGCAACUUAUGAGACGGCCAGAGAUGGGCUACACUCUCUAAUAUAGACCACACGAAAGACUACUUAUGAAACCUAGUCAGAAGGCGGAUUUAGAAGUAAAACGGAAUCACGAGAGUCCUUUUUAACCCGGCACUGGGGUGUGUACACACCGCCCGUCACCCUCCUCAACGCUAACAAAAAGUUUUUAACCCACCUUUAGCUGCACAGAAGAGGCAAGUCGUAACAUGGUAAGUAUACCGGAAGUGUGCUUGGAAA